UACGGGGGGAGCAAGCGUUGUUCGGAUUUACUGGGCGUAAAGGGCGCGUAGGCGGCCAGCACAAGUCAGUUGUGAAAUCUCCGAGCUUAACUCGGAAAGGUCAACUGAUACUGUGCGGCUAGAGUGCAGAAGGGGCAACUGGAAUUCUUGGUGUAGCGGUGAAAUGCGUAGAUAUCAAGAGGAACACCUGCGGCGAGGGCGGGUUGCUGGGCUGACACUGACGCUGAAGCGCGAAAGCCAGGGGAGCGAACGGG
rnacentral:rRNA from 1 species